UUAAGCGACUAAGCGUACACGGUGGAUGCCCUGGCAGUCAGAGGCGAUGAAGGACGUGCUAAUCUGCGAUAAGCGUCGGUAAGGUGAUAUGAACCGUUAUAACCGGCGAUUUCCGAAUGGGGAAACCCAGUGUGUUUCGACACACUAUCAUUAACUGAAUCCAUAGGUUAAUGAGGCGAACCGGGGGAACUGAAACAUCUAAGUACCCCGAGGAAAAGAAAUCAACCGAGAUUCCCCCAGUAGCGGCGAGCGAACGGGGAGGAGCCCAGAGCCUGAAUCAGUGUGUGUGUUAGUGGAAGCGUCUGGAAAGGCGCGCGAUACAGGGUGACAGCCCCGUACACAAAAAUGCACAUGCUGUGAGCUCGAUGAGUAGGGCGGGACACGUGGUAUCCUGUCUGAAUAUGGGGGGACCAUCCUCCAAGGCUAAAUACUCCUGACUGACCGAUAAUGAACCAGUACCGUGAGGGAAAGGCGAAAAGAACCCCGGCGAGGGGAGUGAAAAAGAACCUGAAACCGUGUACGUACAAGCAGUGGGAGCCUCUUUUAUGGGGUGACUGCGUACCUUUUGUAUAAUGGGUCAGCGACUUAUAUUCUGUAGCAAGGUUAACCGAAUAGGGGAGCCGAAGGGAAACCGAGUCUUAACUGGGCGUUAAGUUGCAGGGUAUAGACCCGAAACCCGGUGAUCUAGCCAUGGGCAGGUUGAAGGUUGGGUAACACUAACUGGAGGACCGAACCGACUAAUGUUGAAAAAUUAGCGGAUGACUUGUGGCUGGGGGUGAAAGGCCAAUCAAACCGGGAGAUAGCUGGUUCUCCCCGAAAGCUAUUUAGGUAGCGCCUCGUGAAUUCAUCUCCGGGGGUAGAGCACUGUUUCGGCAAGGGGGUCAUCCCGACUUACCAACCCGAUGCAAACUGCGAAUACCGGAGAAUGUUAUCACGGGAGACACACGGCGGGUGCUAACGUCCGUCGUGAAGAGGGAAACAACCCAGACCGCCAGCUAAGGUCCCAAAGUCAUGGUUAAGUGGGAAACGAUGUGGGAAGGCCCAGGCAGCCAGGAUGUUGGCUUAGAAGCAGCCAUCAUUUAAAGAAAGCGUAAUAGCUCACUGGUCGAGUCGGCCUGCGCGGAAGAUGUAACGGGGCUAAACCAUGCACCGAAGCUGCGGCAGCGACGCUGAUGCGUUGUUGGGUAGGGGAGCGUUCUGUAAGCCUGCGAAGGUGUGCUGUGAGGCAUGCUGGAGGUAUCAGAAGUGCGAAUGCUGACAUAAGUAACGAUAAAGCGGGUGAA
rnacentral:rRNA from 1 species